GUCUGGUAAGACUAGCAGCUAGCUCUCCUAAAGCAUUUUUCAUCCAUAGAUUAAAAGGCACUUCACACAGCAGGACAGAAUGACUAUCCCCAUUUCUCAGAUGAAGAAACUGAGGCACGGGGAGGUGAAGUGACUUGCCCAAGGGUGUGCAACACAUCCGUGAAAAAGCUGGGAACAGAACCAACAUGUUGCGAGUCGCCCAUCCAGUUCACUGCCUAUCGGGACAAACUGCCUCAUUAUAAAGCUUACUGGCUUCUAUUGUUUAAGAUGAAUAAGGCGGAGGCUUUGUGGAAUGAGCUCUAGUGAUAAAACAUUAAUGGCAAAGGGAUUGAACCGGAGAAUAGGGCUAAACUGGAAAGAGCAUAGUUAAUCUAGAUCAGGCAUGGAAUAGGAGGACUUGGCUUGAGAUGAAUUUACCGUUGCAAAUGCCAAAUAAAAUGAUUGCAUUAGUUGUCAGUGUAUACUGUAAAUACUGUACAUUCUUUCUGUUAGGGCUUGCAAAAAUGCUCCAACCUGACCCUGGUAGGAUUAACAGGAUAUCCUGUAAAUUACCGCCCUCCUGCUCCAGGCUGCCAAUUCUCACCCUCAUCAGCAUUAUCGCUUUCAGUCUUUCCGCAGUUGCUCUGUCACACCCACCUGAAUUGAGGAGUGCGGGGGAGACAGGCAUGACUAAAACUCAACAGCGGUGGGCUGGAGUGUCUUCUGGGCUUGUCCAUCAGAGUCUGGACCUCCGGCAAAGAUCUCUAUACUAACCUACUUGUGACUCAGACACAUUGAAAGCAAGAAGGAGUAAUAUCUGAUUUUUCCCAGUGGGGUGGGAAACCACUUGGCUUGAAUGCCCUGCCCUCCACAAGGCAGAAAAGAUUCCUGUCUAGGGGUAUGCCAGAAAGCUCUCUGUCUCAACGCACAUUAGUACAAGUAACAUUGCCACUUACCAUCUGUCUCUCUCUAUGAAUCUGUGCUUCAUUCCUGUGUAAUAAGGAAAUUCAUAGAAGUACCAGCUGUGACCUUUCAGGGGAGCCUGACAAAUUGUGCCUCUUUGGCCAGCAUUGGGAGAGUCUAAUCUGGCACCUCUGAAAGACAGUCGGUUUUUGUUCUGUCACCGUAUCUUUCCCCAGCAAGGGCACAGAAUACAUAGAAAGUGUAAAGCUUCAGCGCCCAUUCAGCAGUUGCUGGCAGCUGCCAAGCAGCCCCCCAUGAAAUGAGGUUUCUUAACCUUCCACUGUAAUGAUUGUGCAUAAUAGUGAGGAGGUGAGUCCAUCAGGCACUGGAAUUCCCCAGCCCUCUUCUAUGUUAUAGGCCAAGUAGAUCAAAAUAGUAGCCACCAAGAUGAAACAAGCUGUGUCAAUAUUUGUUUUGUUAAACUGGCAGUGAGUGUAGAAAGUCUGCCAACUCUGGGUCUCCCUUACAGAUGUUGUGAUGUGUUAUUCUGCAGAUUAAGAGUAAGCGUUAUCCCUCUCCAACCUGAUAUGUAAUAUGUCUAGCAACUAGCAAUUGAGGUUGCUGUCAGCCAGCUCUAUAUGCAUGAUUAUAUUAGGGAGGCAUUUGUAGCAACUUCAUAGUUAAAGCAGGAUUCAAAUCCUUCCGUUUCACACUUUCAUGGUGGAACUGAGUCUCCAAAUUUCCCCUGAACAGUCAUUGUGAUGCAAUUAAACUGUCUAGGACAUUUUCUGGAUAAAAUACUUGCCAAGCUUUGUUAGAGAAAACAAUUAAAUCAUGCCAUUAUGAAAUUUAGCCGUGUGCGUUUCCCUU
ensembl:lncRNA